rnacentral:misc_RNA from 4 species
AACGCACAUUGCGCCCGCCAGUAUUCUGGCGGGCAUGCCUGUCCGAGCGUCAUUUCAACCCUCAAGCCCCCGGGCUUGGUGUUGGAGAUCGGCGAGCCCCCCGGGGCGCGCCGUCUCCCAAAUAUAGUGGCGGUCCCGCUGUAGCUUCCUCUGCGUAGUAGCACACCUCGCACUGGGAAACAGCGUGGCCACGCCGUAAAACCCCCCACUUCUGAAAGGUUGACCUCGGAUCAGGUAGGAAUACCCGCUGAACUUAA